CAUGCAUCUGCAUUAUGAACAUGGUAUUUUGCCUGCUAAUGCAGUGAAGAAAACGAUAUGACAACAAUAACGUCUAAUGUAAGUGGCCCCUCUAACAGUACAACUGGCCCCAGCUUGGCCCCCCCAGUUGAAAUGGUCUAGAACCGCCACUGCUGCCAGGUAAGCCUACUUUGCAGUUAACAUUUUAAUUGAGAAAGUUUUGGGUAAAAAAUGUCUGUCAACCCACAAGACAGUUAUCACGUCAACUGGCUACACAGGGAGUGAUAGACAAACUCGCGCACCACACAGACAGGGUCAAUAUUGUUGGAAAUGAAUUGGUAGACAGUCGCAGACAGUUUGAACCUCUCAUAAGGCAAAUAACUGUACCCAGCUAGCAAUGAGGAAUCGGUCCAGAAGCGGCCCUCCGGAACUGACUGAAUCGACCCGGUGUCGGACUCGGCCCGGAAUCAAAAUGAAUGAGUCUGAGUCUGCCCAAGUACAACGGGCCGUUUCCGUCUACCGGAAUUCAGCCGACUUUGCCGGCAUCUUACCAGAAUCCCCCACAGAAGCGUCCCGAUGCACAUGUAAAUGAAUUAAUACAAAAUUACCCGAUUUAGUCAUUUUAAAAAUUACUAUUAUACAUUUUAUACAUACAAAUUAUACCCAUCAACAUGUUUUGUGUCCCCUAAAUCGGACGACGCUGGGCCAAUUGUGCGUCGCCUGGUGCCAGCGCCUGGCCCGCCACAGCGCGAUGGAACUAGGACAUUCCGGCCGGCCAAACCCUCCCCUAAAUCUGACAAGGAUGGGCCAAUAGUGCGUCGCCUCAUGGGUCUCCCGGUCGCGGCCGGCACGUGUCUCGUACCAGCAUCUGUAGCAACGCAGUUUGCACUGCGAUGCAGUGUCUUAGACCGCUGUGCCAUUCGGGAGGCUCCAUCCACAAAGUUUUUAAUGCUUAUCAAGUCUCUUGCACAAAGUAUCAAAAUACUAAAAUACUACUUAAACAGGACUCUUAAAUAAUGUUUUUUUUUUAUCACAAAUGUUAAUUAUAUAAAGCAGCCCGUGCAAUCAUCUGCCAGACAGUAACCCCAAUCGGCCCGAGCCACAAGUAAUACAUUUGGGCCAGACAACUCUCACAGGGAUCGGCCCGAGCACCAAGUAAUACAUUUGGGCCAGAAAACUCACCGGAAUCGUCCCGAACUCAAUCCCCGCAUCAUAGCCAUAAGUAAUACUGCCGGCCCAGACUCUCAGCCGGAAUCGGCCCAGAUCCACUGUGCUCGCGGGGUACUGUAGUAGUUGUGAACUCCUGAAACAGUGACUACAUUGGUAUAGGAAGUUGGCACGUUACACAAAAUAGAGAUUGAAGGUCAGUGUCUGGCAGGGGGGGGAACUAUCUCGAACUUGAGAAAUCUUGUCAGUAAUGGACUGAAGAAUAGACUGACCUCACAUUACUUCAAUACUAGGCUACUACGGUAAGGUGACCAGAUCGAUUUUGGAAAUGAAAAUAGAGGGUUUAUUUUUCAGAGUGGGUGGUGUAGCUUCGCAAUAAAGAAAAAUACAUUGACUUUAUUUAACUAUCAAUUUUCGCUUUUCAAACAGGGUACUUUUAGUUGUGGUGGUCACACUGUAUCACUGAUCCAACGUUCUCAUAGAAGGUCUGCGGGAGCAAACGAGUUUGGUACAGGGAUAUACAUCAUUUUUACAUGCUAAUAUGAUUAGAUACAGCAUUUGAUUAUUGACAUUUCAACCUCAAUUUAACUUUACAGUUGCUUUUUUCUGUUUGAGGGCUAAUCAGAGACAUUUCCAGCGACAGCUCCAGCCGAGGACAGGCCACCAAAUUUGGGGAAUGUUCCUGGGGACGCCUAUACUCGGGGUAAUGCUGUGUUCAUAACCAGGUGGGAAGGUGGUACUUAUCAGUUGUGAAGUCCUAAAUGCCAGUUGGAUGCAUUCACCUGCUUUGGACUCAUUGAGAAAUGCAGAUUGGCUAAUGGAAAACAAGCUGUUUCAACCAUAAACUAAAAGUACAGCUAUCAUGCUUGUUAACAAAUUAUAGUGUUCAAAAAUCAUAUUAAUAGAUUGCUUUUUAUAAAUAAUGUUUUGUUGUUGCAUUUAACUGCCUAAAAUCCUGUUAUCGAGGUCAUUUUUUAGUAGGUGAUGUCAAAGAUCAGCAUGUGGGAGAAGUCGGAGCUCAGGGAUGAUAGACAAGUUUCACACUUGUAAUUAUCAGUUGGAGGGGCGUUCAAGUGGAUUUAUUCCCAUCAUAUGUGGUAUCUACCAGCUUCCUAACUGGUUAUGAACACAGCAUUAGACAACAAAAACACUUAACAAUAUUUCAUUUUCUCAUAUAUAUGUUUGACCGUUGCACAAUGUUAUUCUCUACACAGGGAGUACUGAAAGAACAGCAUGCUAAGAGCACACAUGUGUGUCGGCGCUAUGUAAUCUCUCAGAGACGUUUGUGCUUUGAUGGGUCAACAUCCGCAGGAAGAUAGCAUGUUUGCAAAGUGCAAUGGGCUGCGGAAGAGAAACGUUGAGACUCCGUACUCAGUACAGUUGUCCUUAUUAGAGGGUUACAUUCCAGUUCUACCCAGUGAGGGUUCCAACAAGGAGCAGCGGCACAGAGGGGAACAGGAGCUGGUCCACUCAACACUAUCAAUGUGGGAGAUGCCUACUUUCAGUUGUGUGAUCGGAGUCAAUGGUCCAAUAGGAAGUAUCAACAAAAUAUCGGACAGCGACGGCAAGACCGAAAGCUUUGACGGGGAUCAGAAGCACUGGAGUUACGAUGAACAGGGCUACAUCAGCUUCAGAGAAGUGUCCACACCCUACAACAUUCCACCUGAGGAAAAAAAGCAAAGGGUUACAUCAACAAUGAUAUCCUCUGUUCAUACGGGUUGAAAACCUGUGUUGCCCCCUAUUGUACAUUGUGGGUGAAGAUGACUGGAGCUGUGCAGCUAUUGAGAACGCAGAUGAGAUUGAGAAGAAGCUUAAAGAUGCUGGUAGAUCCCACCUGUUAUACCUGGGUGCUGGUCACCUGAUUGAGCUGCCCUACACCCUCAACGCCCGAGCCUCGAUGUGGACCACCCGACCAAAGAAACUGAUCACUCUCUGGGGAGGGCACCUGGCACCCCACGCUGCCGCCCAAGAAGAUGCCUGGAAGAGGACCCUGGAAUUUAUGGAACGCCAUCUAAGAGGGUGAAGGGAGAGGAAUAGUAAUAACUUUGUGAUAGAAUGGUACAUUUCAUGCCUCUCCACAAUGCAAGACCCAAAACUCAAAAUCAACUGGACUGUGUUCUCAUGAAUGUACUGUAAUUUCACUGUUUUCACAACACGUAUUGUUGUCAUUGAUUUGUAAAAUGUUUAUAUAUACACACAACUAUUAUCCCAUAAUAAAUUCAAUGGCAUGUAAACAAAGUAGCUUCAUCAU